CGCGCGCCGAGCUCCUCACUCUUUAUAGACCGCUAGGUCCCGCCCCUCCGAGGCCCCGCCCUGUGAACGCUCCGCCCCUGACCCCGCCUCCCGCCCGCGGGGUGCCCGGACCAGGGGUGCUUGGGUGGAUGCUGCCACCUCAGUCCCAGAGUAAGUGUUCGGGAACUUGGUGCAGCUGGUUCGUGGGGCCUCGGUGCACUGUGCGUACGCAGGAUGAAUCUCCAAGUUUCCUAAGGGUUCCCAACCCUCGGGGCAGGCUUCUGGGUCGCGACUAAGAACUGGCCACAAGAUACUGCUCCAAAGAAGCCCCACUUACUUCCUCCUGUACUCGGACGCCUUGGACUUUCCCGGAGGCUCCCUAGUGGAGGUGUCUCAACAGUAAAGAGUCCUAAAAGUUAGCAUGUUUUGUGUAUAUUGAUCUCCCAGUCAGCAACUCCGUGGGCCUGAAGGUCUAGAAUGGAAUUCUUCGUAGCCUUGUUAAUCCUCUAUCUCACAGAUGGAGAGAGUACCUGGCUGCAGUUCUGGGGGCUGCACUUGGGAAGGUCAAUAGUGUACCCAAUGUCUUUAGCCAGUCUUGAGGCUAGAGAACCCUCAGGGGCACCAUCAAAUAUUCAUGCCAUCCUGGCUGUGCCAUCCUCCAUCCUCUGGCUGGUUCCCUGAAAGUUGGGAUUAUAAGGAAGUGAGGAAAGAUUCAGAGGGUAGAGGUGCUUCCUUCCCAGGUGAGGAAUGGCUGCUGUCACCAUAGAUGGUAUUCCUGUGAAAUCUUGUCAUUCCCUUCCCCAAACUGAAGGGCAAUGGGGCUGUUUCAUCAGCAGGGAUUCACUGGGAACCAUGGAAGGACCAGUUCCCAAGACUCAGCCUUUUCCAGGUCACUCCAUGUUCUUAAAUCUUUGAGCAGUUAAGGACAUGUUCCCUAUGGAGAGCACACCUGGCACCCCUCUGGCUAUAGGACACUGGAAAUAUGUUUAAAAGGGAAUAGAUAUGCACAUAUAUGUAAACAAAGGAAAGGAAUAGCUAUAGUAUACAUGUGGAGAGGGAGAGGAAGAGGGAGAGAGAAUGAGAAUCUCACUGUGUAGCUCUGGAACAGAGCUCUGUCUACUUCUGCUUCCUACGUGCUGAGACUAUAGGUUUAGGACACCAUGCCCAGUUGUCUGAAGGACGAAAAUUUGAACUAUGUAUACUUUACAUGUAAACCUGAUGAUUGGCCAGUAGCUGCCUGGGUGGAGCUAUCUCUACUCUGCUAGGCUAGUAGGUUUCUUGAGAGUUAAUUUGUGCAUUUGUUUUGGCUUCAGGCUGGUACAGCUGCUACAGUAAAGGAUCAUGUCCACAUUCAUAGUUCUUGGAGGCUGAAGUAGUGUCACAAUAAAAGUAACACAAGUCACCAAAUGCUGGAGUGAUAUCACAAUAAAAGUCAUUUGAGUCCCCAGGAGGGAGUCUCUGAGGAUUCUUUUUAUUUAAAAGGGGGCAAGAAUACUUCUUGCAUGUGCAGAGAUGGGCACCUGCUUUCUCAUCAGAUCUCCACUGUCUCCAGUGAUGGGAAUACCUCAUGCCUAAAGUGGGGUUACACAUUGAAGGUCAUGCAGGGCCAGUUGUUUUGCUUAUGUACUGUGUGAUACAUCUGGGUUUUAGUGAAUGCCAUUGUGUUCCUGGAACUGUUCCAAGGUCUAUGGACAGCCUAGGAACCAAGACUGCUUCUUUGGGGCCCCUAGGUUCUGGUCACAUACAUGCCAUGGAGAGAGUUUCCAUGAUGUUUGACCAAUCAUGGUAGGGAAUUUUUUUGUAAAGCAGUUUUCCUCCAAAUUAAAACAUCCCUUUCUGGAGGGAAGGUAUUAAGACUCAGGAAAUGAACAACUAACAAGUUUUAGAUGUUCCUGAAACUAACAGGUCCCUUCCUCUCUAAAGAUAUAUAAUUAGGAAGACAGCCCAUGCUUUGACCUAUUCAAGUGCCAUUCUCCAGGGUUCCAGCUUUUGUGAGCCAUCACCUAUGCUAAGGUUUUUGGUGAUACAGCUCCCUUUGAGUUGUCUCUGAUAUUGUAAGUAACCCCUCAUCCAUGCUCCUGUAAGUAACCUAAAUCAACUCAUUGGUUUACCAAGUUGGACUUUGGUGGGAUCUUUCUUUGGUCUAUUGCCAAUUCCCUAUCUAGAGUGAAUGGAUGUUCAUGUUGCAUCUUCCCAGGGAAAUGCCACACAAUAUCAUUAGACCUGCACGAUGUGUCUUAGAGGAGCUAAUAUGGAUCCAGACUCCCACCUGAAAAGCCUUGUGGGAUGGGAGAACCAUUCCAGGGUGAGGAAGCUCUUGGAUCAGGAACAGAUACAGGCAGAAGGUCAGACAGGUCUGAGUUAGGUGGAAGGCAGACUUAGGCUGCAUUCUGUUCCCAUUGAAGGGGUUGGGGUAGGGAAAAAUCUCAUAGGUUCCAGGACACUUGUUGAGAUGACUGGCUGGUUGCAAGAGUACGAGGGGUGCCAUGCAGAGCCUGCACCUGUGAGCACCACAUCUUAAGUGACUUGCCUAACAUCCUGCCAGCUGCCCUUAUAAGGACAUGGGGGAACCAAGUAGGUACCCAGAGAGUGCAUCAGAAAAUGUCCCCGCUGGUUAGCUCAGCCUGAAAAACUCUCUUCUCUGGGUUUCAAGAAAACAGUGAUGAAGGCAGAUAUGCUGUGCUAGGGAACAAGGAGGAAGCCCAAGCCCAGGAUGGGAGGUUUCUCUUCGCUUUCCCUGGUCCAGCCGGUGUGGGAAGGUGGGAAGAACUGUCCUUCCCAGCCAGGGCUUGUCUUACAAUUCUCCUGUCUGUAUGAACUUGUGCCGGCUUCUCAGUUUCCCCAAGUGUGACAGAAGUGCUGCAGAGAGUCUCUAAGUACAGAAGGUCAACGUGUCCUUGUUACUUGGAGCAGGGCCUGGCCUGUGGGAAAGUCAAGGUCAAGCUCUUUUUUGGCCCAGUCCCAGAGUCUUGUGACUCACUCCACAGAGGAGUCCCGCUGUGUGCAUUUGGCAGGAGGUAGGGGGAGUUUGUUGCAGAACCACUCUCAUUUCUCAGUUUCCUAAAAUGAAGACUCCCCAAACUGGGCUGUUUAUGCAGGGCUUGCUCUUGUAGGGUUUGUUGGCCGUCACCAUCACUUCUGCUUGCUAGAAAUUCAUAUGCAGGUCAGGGAGUAAGACAGCUGUGUAUUGAAAGAGCUCAGCAUCCAAAAACGGCCAAGCAGUGCCAGACAAAACUCUUGUGAGCAUCUCUAGAGACACAGGAAAUGCUGUCCUCUAUUCUCCAAGCCCUACAACUCUCCGGAUAAAAUACUUCAUUCAGCACCAAUAGAAGGGGAUUUGUCCUCCAGACCUGAGGAAGAACUGAAGAUCCAGAAAAGUCCUGAAGAACUGAUGAUCCAGAAAAGUCCUGAGCCUGUUCUCAAGGAAGACUGAAGGCUCCUCACCCACCAAGGUCAGAGAUGUAACAAAAUGAAACGAACAAAGCAGUCUGGCAUUUCUCCCCAUGAUCAGCAAGAUGGAAAAGGUGCAGUCCAGGACAGGGUGCUGGAUUUCAACAUAGACCAAAGACCAGCAUCUCUUCAGGAUUCCUCUAGGACUCCAGCACUAGAUGGUCCUGCUGAGACACCCAGUCUCAUGGACUGAACAACUACCAGAUGCUUGGCCUUUCCACUGGGAGACUGCUAUUGUUGGAAUAAUAGGCCACAGCCCGUGUUUCCAGAGCGGUCUAACCUGGGCAGGAGUGAGCACUUUCCAGCAGGUGGCCGAGUACUAAAAGGUGGCCCAGUCUAAAGAGAAAGCAGUGUUGGCUGUCUGCUUGCCUUCCCUGGGUCUGGAGCCAGUGUGUUCAUCUACCGCCGCUGUCCUCUUCUGACGUCAGACCAAAGUUUCUUCAGACUUCUCUAACAUGAAUGAAACAGCAGUGACUCUUCAGGAAUUUUCCAGGCCUUCAGCACCAGGCUGAGACUGCUGAAGCAAUCAGCUUUUUGGACUAAACAGCCUGUUUAGUAUUGUGUAAGUCAAUCUAAUAAAUCCUCCUUUAUAACA